CGGAGCCUAAGCUCACCGGAGCGGUGGCGAGAGGAAGAAGACGCCUCUGACGGGCGGGACACGCUCGUCAGCGGCCGUGUGUGAGGGCAGCGCCCGCGCGCGCGACGCGGGAGAGCUCGCGGGCCGUCUUGGGCCGGGUCCAAGCAGGCCGCCAGUGCAGCACAGUGCACUUUUUUUUCUUUUUCCUUUUUGUUUAAAAUGCUUGAUGUUUGAAAUUGAGUAAUAAAUUGUGUGGUGAUCCAAAAAUGAUGAAAAUUUUUGUAUAGACUCCCUGAAAUAUGUAGAACCCAAGAAAAAUAUUAGGUUCUGUUUUCUGAUAGUUUGCAAGUGUAUAAAAAUUUGCUCUUUUAAUUAGUAAAUAAAACUUCUUUGAAUUUUAAUAAUUUAUCUGUAUGUCCAAAAAUCACCAAACUUUGUGGGGAGUCUCUGAAUAUUAUUUCCAGGCGUCACACAAAAUUUGGUGGCAUUUGGAUAAUGUUUGAAUAGCAUAUUAAUAAACCCUUAUUUAGUAAUUAAGUAAUAAAUCCA
rnacentral:lncRNA from 1 species